GUCCCGGUAGCUCAGUUGGUAGAGCCUAGCAAUAACUGCCAGGAGGUCGCAGGAUCGAAGCCUGGCCGGGAUU